GAGAGAGAGAGAGAAAGGGGAAAAUCCAGCGACGGAAGAAAGGUGAAUUUAGCGAGUACAAAACCUAGCGGCGGUGUGAUUGCCACCCACAAGAGAAACACGGGUAGAUUUGAUUCUACUCCAAAGGAGCAACAAUUGUCUAAUUCUAGCAACCUCCAUGAUUUUUUCUGUUGGAAGCAUUCAAUAAAAAGGUCAAGAAAACCCCAUGAAAAAUUGAGUUUCUAGGUACACCCAGAAAUGAAAUUAGAUGAUCUAUAACUCAACUAACAUCAACAAUUAAGGGGAAAAAAUAACCUUUUUUUUGUCUUUUAAGAGAAAAA
rnacentral:misc_RNA from 1 species